GUGCUCAAUUCCACAGCACAUGUACUAAGAUUGGAAUAAUACAGAGGAGAUUAGCGUGGGCCCUGUGUAAGGAUGACACGCAAAUUCGUGAAGUGUUCCUUAUUUUA
ensembl:snRNA U6 U6 spliceosomal RNA